GGUGUAGUUGCUUAAUGGAAAAGCUUGUUACGAAGCAAUAUUACGACAAUGUUGCUUUAAGGAGUAUAUGUAACUGAAACAUUCCUUGUUAUGAGUUCGAAUCUCAUCUACACCACCA
rnacentral:tRNA from 1 species